GUUUACAAUCUCAAACAAAAGCGAAUUCAUUUAUUCCAUUGAAUUUUUUGUAAUCGGUGAUAAUAGUUCGGAGUGAUUGAACUGCAACUAAAAAGAUUUGCAUUGUAAUAAAGAUCGGACCAAAGAGAAGUCGGAACGAAUUGCAGCCUGGUUAUCAUCUGGCCCUACAGACUCCCACGGACUUCCAGCGUACUCUCCCUUCUCUGCUCAACUCGGUGAACUCCGGGCCGUUUCAGGUAUUUUAGGACCUACACUUCACAAGAAUUGCUCGUAGUUUUAAUUGUUGUUAGAGACAAUCUGUGGAUACCAAACAACAAUCGGACGCAUGAUAUAUGCCCAAAGAAUUUCCCUGCAAAUCUUCAAUCUCGUAACAGGACGAUCUGAUUUUUCCUACUACCUUCGCCAAGGAAAACGUAUCUGCCAAUUUCGCAGAAAAAUUUUUGGAUUUAUUGGACUGGACAAAGUUUUUCUUCAUCACCGUUUCUCCUAUUUCAAACGUUGUCUCAAUUUCCAAGAUGUGAAGUGUGAUGCAGAACAAUUCGUUGGAGCUUCGAAAUGAAAAUGAAAUCCAAUUUACCCAAUACAAAUUCAAAUAAACUUCGAGGAAGUUGUAACUUAAGUCUUCAAAACUAUGAAUUUCAAAUAACUUAUCCGAAUAUUUACUUUACAAAAAACUAAUAAUUCAAAUUUUAACCACUAAACUAACCCUAUUAAUAAUAAAUUCAAUUCAAUAUAUCUACAAAUUCAAAUAACAAUAAUAAUAUAUACAAUUGUUUUUUUAGAACCAAACCGUUAGUUGGGCGCCAAAUGUAACGGGAGGAAGGAUAUCGAGGACAAGGAGGCGAUACAACCUUCACUUAAGCGCCAGGCAAGUUAUUACACUUGCCGUGAAGGAGCGAGAUUUGUCUCUUCAGUUUCCCGUGCCCGACCGUGAGACCUCAGGGCGAGUUCCUGCCAACGAUCUUCAACCCACACUUGAAUUGUCUUGGCGCUCACCAAGGAAUAGAAUUCAAUCAAAUUGGUAUUCAAAACAUCCAGGAUGGAAAGGUUUCCUUUGAAGGUUUGCCUUCCCAGAGCCUAUGCUACCUCGAACCCGAAAACCGAACAAUUGAAGAGCCUCCAAACAGCCAAAAUUCAAUCAACAUAAAUUAUAAUGUGAAAUACAGUAUCUAAGUUAUCGCCAGGUCCACAAGUUAUCGCCAGGUCCACAAGUUAUCGCCAGGCCCAUAUAAUCAAACCAGCAACCAUACCCACGGCAUAAGACGUGCUGUGACUGUAAACAACGGAACCGGAUCGCAGCAGAGACCAACCGCGGAGGCAUCAAAUUAUGCCGAUUCAACAUCUCUCCAAGUAAUAAUGAUUUCCAACUCGUAUUGUACCAAAAAGAAAUUGAAUAAAGAUUCAGAUUAAAUUAGUGAGCCGACGAGAACAGUCGCGUUUUCCUUUUUAGCUUUAGCUUAGUUUAGUUAGUCUUUUUUUAAAAACUCCACUUCCUCACAUGGGAAGUUAAGUGGCGCAGUCG